UACGAAGGGGGCUAGCGUUGUUCGGAUUUACUGGGCGUAAAGCGCGUGUAGGCGGGCCUGUAAGUUGGGGGUGAAAGCCCGGAGCUCAACUCCGGAAUUGCCUUCAAGACUGCAGGCCUGGACCCAUGGAGAGGCAAGUGGAAUUGCGAGUGUAGAGGUGAAAUUCGUAGAUAUUCGCAGGAACACCAGUGGCGAAGGCGACUUGCUGGACAUGUGGUGACGCUGAGACGCGAAAGCGUGGGGAGCAAACAGG
rnacentral:rRNA from 1 species